CCUACGGGAGGCAGCAGUGGGGAAUCUUGGACAAUGGGCGAAAGCCUGAUCCAGCAAUGCCGCGUGAGUGAAGAAGGCCUUCGGGUUGUAAAGCUCUUUCGGACGGGACGAAAUGGCAUCCACUAAUACUGGGUGUCGAUGACGGUACCGUAAGAAGAAGCACCGGCUAACUACGUGCCAGCAGCCGCGGUAAUACGUAGGGUGCGAGCGUUAAUCGGAAUUACUGGGCGUAAAGCGUGCGCAGGCGGUUCGUUAAGACAGAUGUGAAAUCCCCGGGCUCAACCUGGGAACUGCAUUUGUGACUGGCGGACUAGAGUUCGGUAGAGGGGGGUGGAAUUCCACGUGUAGCAGUGAAAUGCGUAGAGAUGUGGAGGAACACCAAUGGCGAAGGCAGCCCCCUGGGCCUGAACUGACGCUCAUGCACGAAAGCGUGGGGAGCAAACAGGAUUAGAUACCCUGGUAGUCCACGCCCUAAACGAUGUCGACUAGUUGUUGGGAGAGAAAUCUUUCAGUAACGUAGCUAACGCGUGAAGUCGACCGCCUGGGGAGUACGGCCGCAAGGUUAAAACUCAAAUGAAUUGACGG
rnacentral:rRNA from 1 species